GCUCAGAACUCAAAGGAAUUGACGGGGCCGCACAAGCGGAGGAGCAUGUGGUUUAAUUCGAUGAUACGCGAGGAACCUUACCUGGGCUCGAACGUAAGAUGACUGUAGGUGAAAGCUUACAUCUCUUCGGAGCAUUUUACGAGGUGCUGCAUGGUUGUCGUCAGCUCGUGCCGUGAGGUGUCGGGUUAAGUCCCAUAAACGAGCGCAACCCCUACCUUUAGUUGCCAUCAGGUUAAGCUGGGGACUCUAAAGGAACUGCCUACGCAAGUAGUGAGGAAGGCGGGGAUGACGUCAAAUCAGCACGGCCCUUACGUCCAGGGCUACACACGUGCUACAAUGGCCGAUACAGAGGGCAGCUACCUGGUGACAGGAUGCAAAUCUCCAAAGUCGGUCUCAGUUCGGAUCGGAGUCUGCAACCCGACUCCGUGAAGUUGGAUUCGCUAGUAAUCGCGCAUCAGCCAUGGCGCGGUGAAUACGUUCCCGGGCCUU
rnacentral:rRNA from 1 species